GGGGGAGGCAGUCCAGCGGUGGAUAUCUGUGGGCUGAUAAAUAAAUCGAUGAAAUCAAACGGACGCUUUGUGAUCUUUUUGAAAGAUUAAGUUGCUAUGAUUGUUGUAUUUUCCAAAGCACAACAUGAUAUUGCCUUCGUACAUCUUUACAACAUGCAGCACUGGACAUCGUUGAACAUCUGAUUAAAAAAAGGGAACAUAAUUACAUGCGCUUUUUGAAAUAACAGCGGGAACACCGCUUGCCGUGAAGUAUAAAUUGUAUUUUAUGUAAUUAAAUGUAACGGCUGGCCCCCCAGCGUAAAAACUAGCUGGUUAAUAUAAAAUAUCAUAGUACGAUGUAAAUUAUCGCCUGUAGUGUCAUAGCCCCCGUGGCCCACAACCGGAUUACCGAAUACGUCCCCCGAUCGGCUAGAAUUACCAUACUUAUUCGUAAGAAGUUGCGUUAUAGUUAUUGUUGUUCGCGAUUCAGUAACAUACUUUCACUUUUCAACAUCGGAUCCCACCGAAUAGGGCGUAGAUCAUUCGACGUUUAACCAUUUAACUCGACAGUUGGCUCGGGGGCCCAAAAGAAAAUAAGAUGAAGACAACAAUGAUCCUGUUGUUAUGCCAAUUCUUUUACCUUUUGGCGUCAGGUGAGGACAGCAGAGACCUGAACGAUGACGACAACGAAGAUCUCGGAAGAAAAUUACACAGGAAAAAGCACCAAAACAUGGGCCCUUGCGGAGGCUAUGGAAGGUCUUUCGGAAACACUUACGUGUACGCUCCGGUGAUGAAUUAUAUUUUCGGAUGUGGAGGAGGAGCUCCGGGCUAUGGAAAUCAGGGCCAUCAUGGUCAUCAUGGGCAUCACGGACAUCAUGGUCAUCACGGUCACCAGGGAUAUCAAGGUUACCAGGGCUACGCGCCAGGUUUCCACCAGCCCUUCGUUCAACCAGUCGGACCAUUCAAUGGAGCUGUGUCUGGAGUCGGAUCAUUACUUUCUGGAUAUUUGUCACAUCCCUACAAAACGCAACGGCAGAUCAACAAGUUCUUCAGACCAUUCACGAAGCUAUUUUGAAAGUGUUUUUAGUGUUGCAUGAAUUUGAACAUGAAAGUGGUGUGUUUUAUACUGUUUAAUUUUGAUUACUCAUUAAUUAUGAGAAAUCUUUAGUCUGUCCGACCAUGUGAUAACGUUAUAUUAAAUUGAAUUGUGAGUAAGA